rnacentral:lncRNA from 1 species
GAGGAGUGGGUGAGAAACAAUGCGCGUGCAAAUGAGAGAAACAGGCGCAAUGACAGACCUCGCAACUUUGAUAGGUCAAGAAACUUUGAAAGAAGAAGAGAAAAUAUGGACCAGAAUCGAAUGAGUAAUCAGGGUCCUGGAGGUCCACCUCGGAACAUGGGACCUCCGCCAAAUAUGGGAGGUCCACCCGGGAACAUGGGUCCUCCACCAAAUAUGGGAGGUCCACCCGUGAACAUGGGUCCUCCACCAAAUAUGGGUGGUCCUUCCGGCAACUUUGGAGGCCCGCCAAACAUGGGAGGUCCUCCCGGCAACAUGGGAGGCCCACCAAACAUGGG